CAGCAGCCGCGGAAUACGUAGGUGGCAAGCGUUGUCCGGAAUUAUUGGGCGUAAAGGGCUCGCAGGCGGUUUCUUAAGUCUGAUGUGAAAGCCCCCGGCUCAACCGGGGAGGGUCAUUGGAAACUGGGAAACUUGAGUGCAGAAGAGGAGAGUGGAAUUCCACGUGUAGCGGUGAAGUGCGUAGAGAUGUGGAGGAACACCAGUGGCGAAGGCGACUCUCUGGUCUGUAACUGACGCUGAGGAGCGAAAGCGUGGGGAGCGAACAGGAUUAGAUACCCCAGUAGUCCCUGUCUCUUAUACA
rnacentral:rRNA from 1 species